rnacentral:rRNA from 1 species
UCUUGGUCAUUUAGAGGAAGUAAAAGUCGUAACAAGGUUUCCGUAGGUGAACCUGCGGAAGGAUCAUUACCGUAUCAAACGUGCGGGAAGGCUCAUGUGAGGGCUGUCGCUGACUCUCAGAGUCGUGCACGCCGGAGCUUGGGCUCGCUCGCACGAAAAUCCAACUCACCCUUUUGUGCACCGCCGCGUGGGCUCCCUUAGGGGGGCUCGCGUUUUUCCACACAAACCCCCUUGUAAAAGUGUAGAAUGUCCCCCAUUUCUUGCGAUGAAACGCAAUAAAUACAACUUUCAACAACGGAUCUCUUGGCUCUCGCAUCGAUGAAGAACGCAGCGAAAUGCGAUACGUAAUGUGAAUUGCAGAAUUCAGUGAAUCAUCGAAUCUUUGAACGCACCUUGCGCCCCUUGGUAUUCCGAGGGGCACGCCCGUUUGAGUGUCGUGAACAUCUCAACCUUCACGGUUUUUCUUUCCGAGAAGGCUUGGACUUUGGAGGCUUUUGCUGGAGUUCCCUAGGAAGCCAGCUCCUCUCAAAUGAAUUAGCAGGGUCCUCUUUGCCGAUCCUCGACGUGUGAUAAGAUGUUUUCCAUGUCUUGGGCUUUCGGCUCUGUCACCUUUUGGGACCUGCUUCUAACCGUCUCUCACGGAGACAACGUCGGAAGGGCAUCCGCUCGACCGCGUCAACCCCCCCUUGACCUCAAAUCGGGUGAGACUACCCGCUGAACUUAAGCAUAUCAAUA